UUCCCUCUAAGGAAAGUGACCUCAGACAGUCCUUUAAGUGCGAUCACUGUAAUUUAGGGAAAGUGACCUCAGACAGUCCUUUCAGUGCAAUCACUGUAAUUGAGGUGAUGAGACACCACAACUGUGGUCCCAAAUGACUAUGACCAGGGAUCAGCUUCUGACCCAAAGGCCAUCUAAGGGGCCUUAGAGGAAUCCAUUAUUAAAUCUUGGACUUAGAAGGAAUCUAAGACAUGUGUAGUUGUCUGUUUCUAUUCAAAUCCUCCGAAAGAAAUGUAAGACUGUCCUCUGGAGGCAGGUGUGCCAAGCAGCGCUCCGCACCCGGGAUGCACCACACUGUGUUUAACCACUCACCCACGGAAAGGCGUCUGGGUUGUUUCCAG